GAUGAACGCUGGCGGCGUGCUUAACACAUGCAAGUCGAACGGAAAGGCUCCUGCUUGCAGGGGUACUCGAGUGGCGAACGGGUGAGUAACACGUGGGUGAUCUGCCCUGCACUUCGGGAUAAGCCUGGGAAACUGGGUCUAAUACCGGAUAGGACGAUGGUUUGGAUGCCAUUGUGGAAAGUUUUUCGGUGUGGGAUGAGCUCGCGGCCUAUCAGCUUGUUGGUGGGGUAAUGGCCUACCAAGGCGUCGACGGGUAGCCGGCCUGAGAGGGUGUACGGCCACAUUGGGACUGAGAUACGGCCCAGACUCCUACGGGAGGCUGCAGUGGGGAAUAUUGCACAAUGGGCGCAAGCCUGAUGCAGCGACGCCGCGUGGGGGAUGACGGCCUUCGGGUUGUAAACUCCUUUCGCUAGGGACGAAGCGUUUUGUGACGGUACCUGGAGAAGAAGCACCGGCUAACUACGUG
rnacentral:rRNA from 1 species